AGGGUUUGAUCCUGGCUCAGAGUGAACGCUGGCGGCGUGGAUUAGGCAUGCAAGUCGAGCGAUCGUCAUUAAGUCCGAAGCCAAAGCUUCGGCAGAGGCUGAAGAUUUUUUGAUGUUAGCGGCAAACGGGUGCGUAACGCGUGGGUAACCUACCUUAAGGAGGAGCAUAGCUUCGCGAAAGCGGAGGUAAUUCUCCAUAAUAUCCCGGAUUUGAUGGUUCGGGAUUAAAGAUGGCCUCUACUUGUAAGCUGUCGCCAUAAGAGGGGCCCGCGUACUAUCAGGUUGUUGGUAGGGUAACGGCCUACCAAGCCGAAGACGGUUAGCUGGCGUAAGAGCGUGACCAGCCACAUCGGGACUGAGACACUGCCCGGACUCCUACGGGAGGCUGCAGUCGAGAAUCUUUCACAAUGGACGAAAGCCUGAUGAUGCGACGCCGCGUGGGGGAUGAAGGUUUUCGGAUCGUAAACCCAUUUUAUUGAGGAGGAACGUUAGGGGGUUAAUAGCCUGUCUAGCUUGACUGUACUCAAUGAAUAAGCCACGGCUAACUCCGUGCCAGCAGCCGCGGUAAUACGGAGGUGGCGAGCGUUACUCGGUUUGACUGGGUGUAAAGGGUCCGCAGGCGGCUAUUUAAGUGAAAGGUGAAAUCUUUCGGCUCAACCGAAAAACUGCCUUUCAAACUACUUAGCUAGAGGAUGGAAGAGGAGAGUGGAACUGCCGGUGUAAAGGUGAAAUUUGUGGAUAUCGGUAGGAACGCCCGUGGAGAAGUCGACUCUCUGGUCCAUUCCUGACGCACAGGGACGAAAGCUAGGGGAGCGAACAGGAUUAGAUACCCUGGUAGUCCUAGCUGUAAACGAUGGGCACUAGGUGUUCGGCUUAGGCUGGGUGCCGCAGUUAACGCAUUAAGUGCCCCACCUGGGGACUACGGCCGCAAGGCUAAAACUCAAAGGAAUUGACGGGGGCCCGCACAAGCGGUGGAACACGUGGUUUAAUUCGAUACGCGAGGAACCUUACCAGGGUUUGACAUGCUAGAAGUAGUAUCUCGAAAGAGAGUCCGAUCGGUAACCAGUCCGGAACUAGCACAGGUGCUGCAUGGCUGUCGUCAGCUCGUGCCGUGAGGUGUUCCCUUAAGUGGGAGAACGAGCGCAACCCUCGCCUUUAGUUGCGACCCAUAUUUUUUAAAUAUGGAGCACUCUAAAGGGACUGCCCGCGUUAAGUGGGAGGAAGGUGAGGACGACGUCAAGUCCGCAUGGCCCUUAUGUCCUGGGCGACACACGUGUUACAAUGCCUACUACAGAGGGUAGCCAAACCGUGAGGUGGAGCAAAUCUCAAAAAAGUAGGCCCUUUCGGAUUGCAGGCUGCAAUUCGCCUGCAUGAAGCCGGAAUCGCUAGUAAUGGCGCACCAGAACGGCGCCGUGAAUACGUUCCCGGGCCUUGUACACACCGCCCGUCAAGCGCUGAAAGUGGGGGGCGCCUGAAGACCCGACUUUGUCGAGUUCACGGUGAAUUUCAUGAUUGGCGCUAAGUCGUAACAAGGUA
rnacentral:rRNA from 1 species